rnacentral:misc_RNA from 1 species
UUUCCGUAGGUGAACCUGCGGAAGGAUCAUUACUGAGCUUUGAAUGAAGUUGUUCUGGUCUUUCGUGGCUAGUGAACGGUUCUCUCAAUCCAACUUACACCUGUGCACCUAUCGGGGAAGACUUGGAUCUAAGUUGGGUCACGACGGCGAUCUACAGUCUCCUCUUUAUACCAAAUAACAGUUUUAGAAAGUCUUUUUUGCUUGAUGCAAACUUAAAUAAAUACAACUUUCAGCAACGGAUCUCUUGGCUCUC